rnacentral:tRNA from 1 species
CUGUAAAUAUAGUUUAAUAAAAACAUUAGAUUGUGAAUCUGACAAUAAAAGCUCGAAUCUUUUUAUUUACC